UACAAACUUUCGCUUUUAUAAUAUUAGUAUAGUUGUAAUUUGUAAGUAUGGAUGGAUAUGCCUGUUACCCGUUUCUGAACUGUAUAUUUGCUAAAGAUCUAUUUGAACUGAACCGUGCAAUAAUAAAGACAUGGCCAUGGUGAUCUUUCAAAAUUUACAGUCUAUACCUAUUUACGGUGUGAACGAUGUCAAAUAAAUAAAGUCUCCACCUCACGUUAGCCCAAAGCGUUCGGCGAGGUCCGACCCACGUGUAAACGCUGUCCUUUGAUGUUUUUAUGAUAUAGGCUACCACUAAAGUCAGCUAAUGUAUGUCAAAUGCCAAAAAGUCUCUGAACAUGUUCACCAAGCGUUUUAGA